UGUGCAAUCCAGGCUAGAGUACCCAUGGCAAGUAAUAGUUUCUUUGCCGUCUUGUAUCUUGAAAAGCCUUUUGCAACAGAAAAAAUGUUUUUAAGUCUGGCCCUUUAAGAGUUGCCUCCUCCCUUCAGGGGGAGUGGUUACUUUUGGGCGUGGUAUCACUAGGCAGAUUAGUUGCACUCAGCACUGCUCUCAAAAUGGUUACUUUUCACAGUCACACAGGCUUUUGAAAUGUAUGCAGGCCCAACUUAUCUGAAACCUCCAGUUGCUUCCUUUUCCCAAAUUCUUAACAAAAAUAGGUUGGAAAACCUACCUGGCUCACCAAAAACUGUAAUAUUUAUUGGGAAAGGAAAUAGGAUUGGGAAAAAUGGGGAUAAAUGGGAGGUUUCUAUGGGGUGUCGGAGGAGAGAGGAGCUUGUUCAGCCCAGUCUGGAGCGGCACACUCUUCGUGGUUCAGCUAGAAGAUUCAGGCCCAGGAUUCUGAAGCUUCAGAAAAGAGAAGAUGAGCUACAGAGACGGCAGAAAGCAACUCUUUCCCUUCAAGAAAAAGGAAGAUGAGCUGCUGGCUGAGGUACUAAACCUGGUGCUGAAAUGCAACACAACUUUUAAUAGUAUAUAAAGCAAUUUUUAAAUCUCUCAACAUCUUAUUUCUGUCAGAAGGGUGAUUUCAGGGGUGCCUAAGUGUGUGUUUAAAUUCUUACUCUGUCUUUAUUUAUUGUUUUUGAAUAGUUGUUCCAUUUAAAUAUUUGUAUUGGCUUGGGAGAAUCUUAGCUAAUGGGGGUAUAAUAAUUCUAGAACACAAUGCCACAUCACGCCAUUUAAAAAUAACUUAUUACUAUCAGAAUUUCAUCUCAGCAACAAAUUAAAAAUUGUCUAAUUUGUAAGCUUUUGAAAGAAAACUGGAACAUAAGAUCUGUGCAGAAAAAUAAUGUGCUAAAUCUGAACAGUGGCAGAAAAGACUUGGGCAUAUAGCACAAGUUAUAUGGGCAGGCCAAACGUCAGGUACUGUACUAAGAUAUCAUUAACUUCCCUGAACUACAUAAAUUAAGCUGAUUAUGUCUUCACUUAAUUAACUGAGAAUGACCUAUUGAUGUAUUGGCAGAGCAAGAUAGAGACCCGUGUCCUGCACUGUACUAAAUUUAUUGGUUUUCAAUUAGUUCUACCAUUGUCUGUGACUAUUGAGAAAAAAUGAGCUUACUUCUAUGUUCUGUGCUAUGCUUUUUGUACUUAUCUUACUAUUUGAAAUCAUACUGUAACAUACUACAAUAGCCAUUAUUUGAAAUCAUACUAUAAGCAGUUUCUUUUUAAAAGUU
rnacentral:lncRNA from 1 species